UACGGAGGGAGCUAGCGUUGUUCGGAAUUACUGGGCGUAAAGCGUACGUAGGCGGUUAUUCAAGUCAGGGGUGAAAGCCUGGAGCUCAACUCCAGAACUGCCCUUGAAACUAGAUAGCUAGAAUCUUGGAGAGGUGAGUGGAAUUCCGAGUGUAGAGGUGAAAUUCGUAGAUAUUCGGAAGAACACCAGUGGCGAAGGCGACUCACUGGACAAGUAUUGACGCUGAGGUACGAAAGCGUGGGGAGCAAACAGGAUUAGAUACCCUGGUAGUCCACGCCGUAAACGAUGAUAACUAGCUGUUCGGGCUCUACGAGCUUGAGUGGCGCAGCUAACGCAUUAAGUUAUCCGCCUGGGGAGUACGGUCGCAAGAUUA
rnacentral:rRNA from 1 species